rnacentral:rRNA from 1 species
GACGAACGCUGGCGGCGUGCUUAACACAUGCCAGUCGAACGGAAAGGCCUGCUUUCCCUUGUGGAUUGCGGGUACUCGAGUGGCGAACGGGUGAGUAACACGUGAGUGAUCUGCCCCCAACUUGGGUAUAAGCCUGGGAAACUGGGUCUAAUUCCCGAUAGGACUGCAGGGUGGUGCCUGUGGUGGAAAACGAUUUUCUAGUGGUUGGGGAUGAGCUCGCGGCCUAUCAGCUUGUUGGUGGGGUAAUGGCCUACCAAGGCGGCGACGGGUAGCCGGCCUGAGAGGGUGGGCGGCCACAGUGGGACUGAGAUACGGCCCAGACUCCUACGGGAGGCAGCAGUGGGGAAUAUUGCACAAUGGGCGGAAGCCUGAUGCAGCGACGCCGCGUGGGGGAUGACGGCCUUCGGGUUGUAAACUCCUUUCGACCGCGAGGAAGCCACCUGGUUGGAAGGGUGGUGACGGUAGUGGUAGAAGAAGCACCGGCUAACUACGUG